rnacentral:rRNA from 1 species
AGAGUUUGAUCCUGGCUCAGGAUGAACGCUAGCGGCAGGCCUAACACAUGCAAGUCGAACGGUAAGGUCUCUUCGGAGAUACACGAGUGGCGCACGGGUGAGUAACGCGUAUGCAACCUACCUUUAACAGGGGUAUAGCUUUCGGAAACGGAAAUUAAUCCCCCAUAGUACUUAGAUAUCGCAUGGUAUUUGAGUUAAAGCUUCGGCGGUUAAAGAUGGGCAUGCGUGGCAUUAGAUAGUUGGUAGGGUAACGGCCUACCAAGUCAGCGAUGCCUAGGGGGUCUGAGAGGAUGGUCCCCCACACUGGUACUGAGACACGGACCAGACUCCUACGGGAGGCAGCAGUGAGGAAUAUUGGGCAAUGGACGCAAGUCUGACCCAGCCAUGCCGCGUGCAGGAUGACGGCCCUAUGGGUUGUAAACUGCUUUUUUAUGGGAAGAACUCUUUCCACGUGUGGAAAGCUGACGGUACCUAAGGAAUAAGCAUCGGCUAACUCCGUGCCAGCAGCCGCGGUAAUACGGAGGAUGCAGGCGUUAUCCGGAUUUAUUAGGUUUAAAGGGUACGUAGGCGGACUUAUAAGUCAGUGGUGAAAUUCUGUGGCUCAACCAUCGAACUGCCAUUGAUACUGUUAGUCUUGAAUUCAGUUGCUGUAGGCGGAAUGUAUCAUGUAGCGGUGAAAUGCAUAGAUAUGAUACAGAACACCGAUUGCGAAGGCAGCUUACAAAACUGAUAUUGACGCUGAUGUACGAAAGCGUGGGUAGCGAACAGGAUUAGAUACCCUGGUAGUCCACGCCGUAAACGAUGAUUACUCGUUGUGUGCGAUACACUGCACGUGACCGAGCGAAAGCAUUAAGUAAUCCACCUGGGGAGUACGUUCGCAAGAAUGAAACUCAAAGGAAUUGACGGGGGCCCGCACAAGCGGAGGAACAUGUGGUUUAAUUCGAUGAUACGCGAGGAACCUUACCUGGGCUUAAAUGUAGAGUGCAUGACUUGGAAACGUGGCUUCUCUUCGGAGCAAUCUACAAGGUGCUGCAUGGUUGUCGUCAGCUCGUGCCGUGAGGUGUCGGGUUAAGUCCCAUAACGAGCGCAACCCCUAUCACUAGUUGCCAGCGAGUAAUGUCGGGAACUCUAGUGAAACUGCCGGUGUAAACCGUGAGGAAGGUGGGGAUGACGUCAAAUCAGCACGGCCCUUAUGUCCAGGGCUACACACGUGUUACAAUGGUAGAUACAGAGAGCAGCUACAUGGUGACAUGAUGCUAAUCUCCAAAACUGGUCUCAGUUCGGAUUGAAGUCUGCAACUCGACUUCAUGAAGUUGGAUGCGCUAGUAAUCGCGCAUCAGCCAUGGCGCGGUGAAUACGUUCCCGGGCCUUGUACACACCGCCCGUCAAGCCAUGGAAGUUGGGGGUACCUGAAGUCCGUAACCGUAAGGAGCGGCCUAGGGUAAAACUAGUGACUGGGGCUAAGUCGUAACAAGGUAACC